ACAAUCUCACUGAUAUACAUAAGCUCACUGACACACAGCCUCAUAGACAGACACAAUCUCACUGAUAUACAUAAACUCAUUGACACACAGCCUCAUAGACAGACAAUCUCACUGAUAUACAUAAGCUCAUUGACACACAGCCUCAUAGACAGACAAUCUCACUGAUAUACAUAAGCUCAUUGACACACAGCCUCAUAGACAGACAAUCUCACUGAUAUACAUAAGCUCAUUGACACACAGCCUCAUAGGCAGACAAUCUCACUGAUAUACAUAAGCUCAUUGACACACAGCCUCAUAGACAGACAAUCUCACUGAUAUACAUAAGCUCAUUGACAUAAAAACACAAGCGCACUCACUAGGAGGCAGACAGCUUAAUGUAGUGGUUCUGGUGUCUAUAGGCUUUCAAUGUAAACACUGACUUUUCAGAGAAAAGGCAUUGUUUACAUUGCUUCCUAAUGACACCUCUAGUGACAGACACUAGAGGUGCUUCCUGUAUCAGCGCAGAUUGGCUGAGAUCAUCAAGCUUGAUGAUCUCGGCCAUAGAGGCAGGGCCAGUUGAGGGGAGACCAGCACGACGUUGGAGAGUAAAAACACUAUUUUUUAAAAACACCCACAGACACACACACCUUGACACACCCAGACACACAUAAUUGUUGUAACCUGUGGGCAGACAGAUUGGUGUGCUGGCGGCUGCAGGGAGCUGGCUCUUCU